AUUGAACUCUGGCGGCAGGCCUAACACAUGCAAGUCGAGCGGUAGCACAGAGAGCUUGCUCUCGGGUGACGAGCGGCGGACGGGUGAGUAAUGUCUGGGAAACUGCCUGAUGGAGGGGGAUAACUACUGGAAACGGUAGCUAAUACCGCAUAACGUCGCAAGACCAAAGUGGGGGACCUUCGGGCCUCAUGCCAUCAGAUGUGCCCAGAUGGGAUUAGCUAGUAGGUGGGGUAAUGGCUCACCUAGGCGACGAUCCCUAGCUGGUCUGAGAGGAUGACCAGCCACACUGGAACUGAGACACGGUCCAGACUCCUACGGGAGGCAGCAGUGGGGAAUAUUGCACAAUGGGCGCAAGCCUGAUGCAGCCAUGCCGCGUGUGUGAAGAAGGCCUUCGGGUUGUAAAGCACUUUCAGCGGGGAGGAAGGCGAUAAGGUUAAUAACCUCAUCGAUUGACGUUACCCGCAGAAGAAGCACCGGCUAACUCCGUGCCAGCAGCCGCGGUAAUACGGAGGGUGCAAGCGUUAAUCGGAAUUACUGGGCGUAAAGCGCACGCAGGCGGUCUGUCAAGUCGGAUGUGAAAUCCCCGGGCUCAACCUGGGAACUGCAUUCGAAACUGGCAGGCUAGAGUCUUGUAGAGGGGGGUAGAAUUCCAGGUGUAGCGGUGAAAUGCGUAGAGAUCUGGAGGAAUACCGGUGGCGAAGGCGGCCCCCUGGACAAAGACUGACGCUCAGGUGCGAAAGCGUGGGGAGCAAACAGGAUUAGAUACCCUGGUAGUCCACGCCGUAAACGAUGUCGAUUUGGAGGUUGUGCCCUUGAGGCGUGGCUUCCGGAGCUAACGCGUUAAAUCGACCGCCUGGGGAGUACGGCCGCAAGGUUAAAACUCAAAUGAAUUGACGGGGGCCCGCACAAGCGGUGGAGCAUGUGGUUUAAUUCGAUGCAACGCGAAGAACCUUACCUGGUCUUGACAUCCACAGAACUUUCCAGAGAUGGAUUGGUGCCUUCGGGAACUGUGAGACAGGUGCUGCAUGGCUGUCGUCAGCUCGUGUUGUGAAAUGUUGGGUUAAGUCCCGCAACGAGCGCAACCCUUAUCCUUUGUUGCCAGCGGUCCGGCCGGGAACUCAAAGGAGACUGCCAGUGAUAAACUGGAGGAAGGUGGGGAUGACGUCAAGUCAUCAUGGCCCUUACGACCAGGGCUACACACGUGCUACAAUGGCAUAUACAAAGAGAAGCGACCUCGCGAGAGCAAGCGGACCUCAUAAAGUAUGUCGUAGUCCGGAUUGGAGUCUGCAACUCGACUCCAUGAAGUCGGAAUCGCUAGUAAUCGUAGAUCAGAAUGCUACGGUGAAUACGUUCCCGGGCCU
rnacentral:rRNA from 1 species